GACUCUGGUUUCUCUUUCAUUACGCACAAGCCUUUCGCCUUUACUAAAGACUUCGUGGGAGAGGAACACUUUACGAAGAUUAACGUAUUUUUGGAAGGGCUUUGCUUCUGGCAGAGCC